CUCACAGUGAAGAAACCUGACAAACACUCUGAGCCAGACAGUUAAAGUUAACAUCGACAGAAUAAAUUAUGUUGAUAGUUUGUGCAUCUGAUAUGAAAUGAUGAACAUGGCACUAUCCUUCUGUGGUCUUCUUCCCAAAACCUAUGGCCCCAAUGUAAUCAAGAGAAAAAUAUCAGGCAAACUCUAACUGAGGGAUAUCCCACUAUUGACUCUUUUUUCAGUUGAGAACAAAAGGAGAAAAACACAGUGCUGGUAUAUCCAUCAGGAUAAAAGGGCUAGUUGUAAUGAUUGCUUCUAUCUUCCACAGCUCUAUUUUUUCCCCCAUGAGUAACUAAAAACUCAGAAAAAAAAAAAAAGUAACUGUAAAGCCCAAUCAAGUAAUCGUUUUUCUCUUUUUACCUCACUUUGGCAAUUAAAGGAUGAAGUAUGUAUUCUAUGUCAUCUGGAUGAUGCUGUUUCCCCCAUUGCUGUGGACAUAUCUGGCGGUGGUACGGAAGGGAAGUGGCAGUUCCCAGACCUGCUCCAGUCAUACUGUCCAGUUUGAAGUAAAGUGACAGGAGAGCUGACCAGCAGCAGGCAAAAUCGAGGUCCACAUUCAAGUACAUUUAUCAUUAUAGAAAUGGUUGUUUUCUGAGUCUAGAGCCCUACAGUUGAGCAUAUGAUGCAAAAUUACAUGAGUGAAGUGGCUAUAUCUGACUGUGGGAAUAGUCUAGUAAAACCUUGGGAGUCAUUUUUUUCUCAAUAUUUGAUCAAAAUGAAUUUGAUUAUAUAGUAUAUACUCUGCAAAGCCUCUAUGUUAUCCAAUUUUAUUUUAACUCUGUAUAUGGAUGGGGGUAAAUCCUUUAUUCUUUUUCCUAGGUUGUUGUCAUGUUUUUAGGAACCUACUUUAUAUGAUAAAUUUGAAAUAUUCCUUAUGAAAAGAGUGUGAGGAUUGUCAUUUCUUCUUAUAGAGCCCAUGUAUCAACAUUGCCACACCCACAUAUUUCAAGCAAGCUACUAAGAAGAUAUUUUGAAUUCAUAAGUCAUGUAUAAUGGAAUUUUAUUAUGAAAAUAUAGUUAACCACAGACUAAAUUAAAAUAGUAAACUGAAAUUAUUUUUCAUAUCACAUUCACAUUUUGUAAUGUGCAUAUAUAUAUGUUUAAAAUUUGUUCAUAUAUUUUGUUCUAUGUAUCACAUAUCUUUAACAGCCACUACUUCUUCUCUAAAUGAAUUUAUCAUUAAUCAUUUAGUGAUAAAAAUUAAUGACACAAAUUUUUAAGCAUUUUCAUGUGAUUCUUUGGUAUUUUAUCUUCUUGAAGUAUUUGGAUACUUGAUAGAAUUAAUUUAUUGUGAGAUUAUUGGGAAUUUUACACUGCCAUCUCUUGCACACUCAAGUAGGUGGAAGUUUGGAGAUGCUGGGCAAAUUGCCUAGCCUUUCCAAAAAACCUGCCUACACAUUGCCGGCCCUUUCCAACAGUCUAGAGAAACUCUCAUUUUGGUAACUCUUAAUUUUCUUCAUCCUUUAUAAUUCAUACUCCAAACCGUAGGUGAACAUAGCUUACCUUUGGAAAGAUGAAACUUGUAUUAAACACAUAGCAUUCUUCUGAUUGUUGUAUUUUUAACAUUGGUUGACAUUUGUCCCCCACAUACAUGCUCACAUAUACUGGCCCCUGACUGCCUAGUGUUACCUCACUGUGGAAUCCCAUCUUGGUUUUUGCUUGUAUGUGGGGUUACCUUGCUGACUCUGAAAUUUAUAGCCUUGCAGACUUGAAUAGAUUGCUCUGUUAUAGAUUUCUUAAUCAGUAAAAGUCAGAGGAGGGGCACCUGGGUGGUCCAGGUGGUUAGGAAUCCAAUUCUUGAUCACCACUCAGGUCUUGAUCUCAAAGUUGUGAGUUCAAGCCCCAUGCACUUUUUAAAAAAGAAAAAAAAGUCAGAAGAUUAUUUCUGUCUUGCUAUAAUUUGUCUUAGCAAUGUGAGCUCUAAUCUAAAAUAAAAACCAAGGCAGACUUAUGAUAUACGAUGCCGUUUCUGCAUAGGGGUAGCAAAUUUUUUCUUUUCUUUUCCUCCAAGAAGGUUACAAAAUAAGAAUAAAAUAGAAUUGGUUCUAGCAGGACAAUAUAGGAUGUGAGUAGUUAGUUAUUUAUAAGAAAAUAAUCAUUUGAGUUAGCUGAAUUAUUAAUUUUGCAACAAGAUGUGACAGUAAAAUAGUAUAUUUGAUAGAAACUCUAGGCAACCCUAACAAUCAAUCAAUCAGCAUUGGCUUCUCCACUAAGUGACUGCAUGCAGUUGAAGGAACUAUGUGAGGAAUGUGAGGCGUGUGUGUUGUGGGGCAGGGCAGGAGAGAAUGAGAUGAUAGUACUGCACCCAUAUGUUUCGUGGUAGUGGGAUUGCAUGUGUUUAUGGGAUAUGGGAUGUGCCAAACAAAAUAGAACACUGUCUUUGAUCCUGAUAGCAAAGAAAUGAAUGAUUUUUAUCAAUAAAAUAAUUAAGUGCUAAGAAAAAAA
rnacentral:lncRNA from 1 species